GACGGAGGAUGCAAGUGUUAUCCGGAAUCACUGGGCGUAAAGCGUCUGUAGGUUGUUUAAAAAGUCUGCAGUUAAAGGUUGAAGCUUAACUUCAAAAAUGCCGUAGAAACUUUUAAACUAGAGGAUGGUAGGGGUAGAGGGAAUUUCCAAUGGAGCGGUGAAAUGUGUAGAUAUUGGAAAGACCACCGAUGGCGAAGGCACUCUACUGGGCCAUGACUGACACUGAGAGACGAAAGCUAGGGGAGCAAAUGGG
rnacentral:rRNA from 1 species